GUACACUCCUGCGGGAGGCAGCAGUGGGGAAUAUUGGACAAUGGGCGCAAGCCUGAUCCAGCCAUGCCGCGUGAGUGAUGAAGGCCCUAGGGUUGUAAAGCUCUUUCACCGGUGAAGAUAAUGACGGUAACCGGAGAAGAAGCCCCGGCUAACUUCGUGCCAGCAGCCGCGGUAAUACGAAGGGGGCUAGCGUUGUUCGGAUUUACUGGGCGUAAAGCGCACGUAGGCGGACUAUUAAGUCAGGGGUGAAAUCCCGGGGCUCAACCCCGGAACUGCCUUUGAUACUGGUAGUCUUGAGUUCGAGAGAGGUGAGUGGAAUUCCGAGUGUAGAGGUGAAAUUCGUAGAUAUUCGGAGGAACACCAGUGGCGAAGGCGGCUCACAGGCUCGAUACUGACGCUGAGGUGCGAAAGCGUGGGGAGCAAACAGGAUUAGAUACCCUUGUAGUCCCAUG
rnacentral:rRNA from 1 species